rnacentral:rRNA from 1 species
UGGGGAAUAUUGCGCAAUGGGGGAAAGCCCUGACGCAGCAACGCCGCGUGAGUGAGGAAGGCCCUCGGGUCGUAAAGCUCUGUCAGAUGGGAAGAAAGUGCAUUGGUCUAAUAGGCCUUUGUAUUGACGGUACCUUCAAAGGAAGCACCGGCUAACUUCGUGCCAGCAGCCGCGGUAAUACGAAGGGUGCAAGCGUUAUUCGGAUUUACUGGGCGUAAAGCGCGCGCAGGCGGAUUGAUAAGUCAGAUGUGAAAUCUAGGGGCUCAACCCCGAAACU